UGCCUGGAGUGAAGAUUCUGCCCAUUGGUCAAGAGACCUCCCUCUCAGAUGCUGGCUCUGCCCCUGCCUUUGGGGGUCGACCCUUGUACUCGCAGGACCUUAGGUGACUCUAUUCUACUUCUCUGAUCAUCCAGGAAGCCAACCUGCCUGAGGACGAGUCAUACUCUGUCCUCCCACCCCAGGCCAGAGAGUGGUAUCUGUCUGUCCACAAGUUCAAAGGAAGAAGAGCUUUAGAAAAAUCAGAGUAAUAUGAUCAGAUCGCCCCACCAGUGGCUCAACAAUCUGUCCUCGUGUACACUUUGAAGAAAGCACAGGUGGUGAAGGGUCUCAUUUCAAGUUGUUGUGGUUUUCUGCCAUGGAGGAAAGUGUUGAAAAAAAGGGAACUAUACAGCAUAAAGAUGGGUUUUCACAGAUCCUGUCAAGGCUGGGCGACGAGCUGGAAACUCCAUCUCAAAACAAUAACAACAAAAGAAACAGGCCCGGGCAGCGUCUGCCGGCAGUGUCAUCAAGAAGACAGCAUGUGGCUGUGGCAGAGGCCUAUCAAGGUUCUAAUUCCAGUCCCACAUUUUCUGACUGUAAGAUCCUAAGU
rnacentral:antisense_RNA from 1 species